AUUGAACGCUGGCGGCAUGCCUUACACAUGCAAGUCGAACGGCAGCACGGGAGCAAUCCUGGUGGCGAGUGGCGAACGGGUGAGUAAUAUAUCGGAACGUGCCCAGUAGUGGGGGAUAACUGCUCGAAAGAGCAGCUAAUACCGCAUACGACCUGAGGGUGAAAGGGGGGGAUCGCAAGACCUCGCGCUAUUGGAGCGGCCGAUAUCAGAUUAGCUAGCUGGUGGGGUAAAGGCCUACCAAGGCAACGAUCUGUAGUUGGUCUGAGAGGACGACCAGCCACACUGGGACUGAGACACGGCCCAGACUCCUACGGGAGGCAGCAGUGGGGAAUUUUGGACAAUGGGCGCAAGCCUGAUCCAGCAAUGCCGCGUGCAGGAAAAAGGCCUUCGGGUUGUAAACUGCUUUAGUCAGGGAAGAAAUCCUCUAGGUUAAUACCCUUGGGGGGAUGACGGUACCUGAAGAAUAAGCACCGGCUAACUACGUGCCAGCCGCCGCAGUAAUAC
rnacentral:rRNA from 1 species